AGGAUGAACGCUGGCGGCGUGCUUAACACAUGCAAGUCGAACGAUGAUGACCGUGCUUGCACGGUCUGAUUAGUGGCGAACGGGUGAGUAACACGUGAGUAACCUGCCCCUCACUUCGGGAUAACCUCGAGAAAUUGAGGCUAAUACCGGAUAUGAACUUCUACCGCAUGGUGGUUGUUGGAAAGUUUUUCGGUGAGGGAUGGACUCGCGGCCUAUCAGUUUGUUGGUGAGGUAAUGGCUCACCAAGGCGAUGACGGGUAGCCGGCCUGAGAGGGCGACCGGCCACACUGGGACUGAGACACGGCCCAGACUCCUACGGGAGGCAGCAGUGGGGAAUAUUGCACAAUGGGCGAAAGCCUGAUGCAGCGACGCCGCGUGGGGGAUGACGGCCUUCGGGUUGUAAACCUCUUUCAGUAGGGAAGAAGCGAAAGUGACGGUACCUGCAGAAGAAGCGCCGGCUAACUACGUGCCAGC
rnacentral:rRNA from 1 species